UGAGUGCGAGCUGCUACGGCAGCGAAGUUGGUGACGUCAAGCUUCCAAGAAAAGCCCUAUACCCGUUAAGGCAUCAUGGCCUGUACCCGAAACCGACACAGGUGGGGUGGUAGAGAAUACCGAGGGGCGCGAGGUAACUCUCUCUAAGGAACUCGGCAAAAUGGCCCCGUAACUCCGGGAGAAGGGGUGCCACCGCAAGGUGGUCGCAGUGAAGAGGCCCAGGCGACUGUUUACCAAAAACACAGGUCUCCGCCAAGUCGCAAGACGAUGUAUGGGGGCUGACGCCUGCCCAGUGCCGGAAGGUUAAGGAAGCUGGUCAGCGCAAGCGAAGCUGGCGACUGAAGCCCCGGUGAACGGCGGCCGUAACGAUAACGGUCCUAAGGUAGCGAAAUUCCUUGUCGGGUAAGUUCCGACCCGCACGAAAGGCGUAACGAUCUGGGCGCUGUCUCGGAGAGAGGCUCGGCGAAAUAGAAUUGUCUGUGAAGAUGCGGACUACGUGCACCCGGACAGAAAGACCCUAUGAAGCUUUACUGUAGCUUGGUAUUGUGCCCGGGCUCUGAAUGCGCAGGAUAGGUGGGAGGCUUUGAUCAUCGGCUUGCGGGUCGAUGUGAGCCAACAGUGAGAUACCACUCUUUCAGAGCUAGGGUUCUAACAGUCACCCGUUAUCCGGGGACUGGACAGUAUCAGGUGGGCAGUUUGACUGGGGCGGUCGCCUCCUAAAAGGUAACGGAGGCGCGCAAAGGUCUGCUCAGGCUGGUUGGUAAUCAGCCGACGAGUGUAAAAGCAGAAGCAGGCUUGACUGUGAGACCUACAAGUCGAACAGGGAGGAAACUCGGCUUUAGUGAUCCGACGGUUCUGCGUGGAAGGGCCGUCGCUCAACGGAUAAAAGUUACUCUAGGAUAACAGGCUGAUCUCCCCCAAGAGUUCACAUCGACGGGGAGGUUUGGCACCUCGAUGUCGGCUCAUCGCAACCUUGGGCUGAAGUCGGUCCCAAGGGUUGGGCUGUUCGCCCAUUAAAGCGGUACGCGAGCUGGGUUCAGAACGUCGUGAGACAGUUCGGUCCAUAUCCGGUGCAUGCGCAGGAAUAUUGAGAGGAGUUCUCCCUAGUACGAGAGGACCGGGAGGAACGCACCUCUGGUGUACCAGUUAUCGUGCCAACGGUAAACGCUGGGUAGCCAUGUGCGGAGAGGAUAACCGCUGAAAGCAUCUAAGUGGGAAGCCCACCUCAAGAUGAGUAUUCCCAUGGCGUUAGCCAGUAAGGUCACGGGAAGAACACCCGUUGAUAGGCUCUAUGUGGAAGCGCAGUAAUGCGCGAAGCAGAGGAGUACUAAUAGACCGAGGGCUUGAU
rnacentral:rRNA from 1 species